rnacentral:misc_RNA from 1 species
ACGCGGAUCAGCAUGCCGCGGUGAAUACGUUCCCGGGCCUUGUACACACCGCCCGUCACACCAUGGGAGUUUGUAACGCCCAAAGUCGGUGGCCUAACCUUUAUGGAGGGAGCCGCCUAAGGCGGGACAGAUGACUGGGGUGAAGUCGUAACAAGGUAGCCGUAGGAGAACCUGCGGCUGGAUCACCUCCUUUCUAAGGAAUAAAACGGAACCUACACAUCGAAGAAACUUUGUUUAGUUUUGAGGGGUUUACCCUCAGAGCUUGUACUUUGAAAACUAAAUACUAUCUAAUUUCUUUAUUAACAAAACAAUAAACCGAGAACACCGCGUUAUUUGAGUUUUAAUUAACGAAUUAUAAUCGCUAACUCAAUUAAUCAGACAAUCUUUGAUUGUUUAGGUUAAGUUAUGAAGGGCGCAUGGUGAAUGCCUUGGUACUAGAAUGAAGGACGGGACUAACACCGAUAUGCUUCGGGGAGCGGUAAGUACCCUUUGAUCCGGAAAUUUCC